AUGAAGAGUUUGAUCCUGGCUCAGGAUGAACGCUAGCGGUAUGCUUAACACAUGCAAGUCGUACGAGAGUAUUUAACUCUAGUGGCGGACGGGUGAGUAACACGUGAGAAUCUGCCCGCAGGAGGGAAAUAACAUUAGGAAACCAAUGCUAAAGUCCCAUAUACCUUUU
rnacentral:rRNA from 1 species